AUACAGCUUACAGUGAAAUUGCCACUGUUUUUGGCUCUUGACUGGUACUUUGUUUCUCAUAGGGCCCGAGUGCGUAAGACAAUAGGAACACCAGCACUGAGCGUCAGAAGUUUGUAACAUUUUCCACACACGUGCACAGUCCCCACACCAGGCUGUAGCUCCGACCCUAGUCAAUGAAGAUCUGACGCUGGGUGAGUACCUGUGACAGCUCCCUUUGGAGCUGUCGGUAUUUUUGAUUAUCAGGCAAAGACUCAACAGAUCUGGAGCACAGAGAAGAGGUGGAGUGGGAGUAGAUGUCAUUCAAUGUGGAGCGAAUCUUGUUCUCCAUCUCCUGCAACAAAGAUAUGAAAGCUUAAAGGUUGAAAAUGCAGCAAGAGAACCUUGAUUAGCGAGUCUAAGGCGCUUCGCUUUAUGCAGCAGAGAUGAAACAAAACAAAUGGAUGCGUGGCCUGGCAGAUGACGUCAAUAACGCUCAAGCUUUACACCAUACUUGUCUUGUUAGGCUGCCGCCCAAAUUCAUGGUUCCAGAGUCAAUCUUGGUCGUCUGAAGCCACAACAUAACGGUGGAGAAAGAAUGCUGACCAAUACGCGGGGUCUGAAAGGCAAAUUGUUGUUGGAUUAUGUUUAAAUACCCACUACAUUUUGAGCAGAAUUCUCGCUUUGUAUAAACUAAUGUUCCUGUUGUUGAAAGGUGUGUAAUAAACAACUAGCACAUUUAUGUUGUCUUACUGUACCGAAAAUGAACCGAACCGUGACCUCAAAAUUGAGGUACGUACCGAACCGAGGUUUUGUGUACCGUUACACCCCUACUAAACAUACAAUAAAUGUGGCAGAAAACACAGACAAGGGCGAAAAAGCAAUUUCUGCUUUUGCACCCCUCUUUAAAAUAAAGAGCUAUAUUUUAAGCCAAAACAACUUUUGUGUUUGAUAGACCCAUAUGUCUAUUUGCUGCCAUAGCAGCCCGAACUAUUUUUAAUUUGUCCGCUAUACCCUGAAAACUCCCGUUUACAGACAUCGCGCAACCGCUUUUGUUUCAACCCAGCCAUAAAAAGGUAAGUAAUUAUAUUCAUUAUUCGAAAUGUCCAUUUUUAGCUUAGAAUCAUUAAUUGAUGUCUAAUAUUUAGUUAAAAAAAAAAAAAACUUAUAAAUUAUAAAAUUAUUCACUCACAUACUUUAAAGGGUACCACGGAUCGAAAGACGUGGUUCUUAAAAGAAAUGUUAGUACGAGUUAUAAUAAUUUUAUAUUAAAACCCCUGUAAAUAUUUUCGUUUUAAUAAAAUUUGUAAAAUUGUUUUAACUAGUAGGUCGCCAUUGUUGUUGACGUCGCAGAGCGAAGACAUCACAUGGACACGCUGGCGGACUUUCACUGUGUCGCUCUAACUACAUUAACAUGUCCUCGGUUCUGCCCUUCCAAUUUGAACCCGAAUGGAACAUUACUGUGAAGGACAGCAAAUGGGAUGAGUCGAGUAGCGGAUUUGUGUCAAGUUCGCUAGUGACAGCACUAAGCUGCUCUAGUGACGAGAGCAGGAGUGUUUGAUGUCAAAAACUGUUUCCAGCAGGCCCGGAUCUAGGUUUACCCACCAGAGUGGGCACUAAGAAAACUUGAGGGGGCACCCCAAUGCAGGCUUUUUUUUACCCUCUGCAUUUCUCCAGGCUUGGGACCGGCGCAAGUAGGACACUGGCUUGUGUCCCGUUGAGGCUGCAUUAAUUUUUGGGGGGUUUGUUUUUUGUUUGUUUGUUGUUUUUUUUCAUUCAUCUCUCUACUUAUUCUCGCUGUCGGCGUGAUGUCACGAUGACGUCAUCUCGCAUAGCAACGUGUCACCAUUUUGAGAUGGGGGAACACACAGGUAAACAUCCGUAGACAAACGUCUGAAAUUCAUAUAUUUCAGCUGUGUUUUGCGUCUUUUUUUCAUUAAAAACGUCUUAAACAUGACUUAUUAUCACGAGUCACUGCCGACAGACGCGAGGAAGCGAUACAACUUAAAAUUAGCGUGUAUUGGCCUGCAAAUCUGCGCAUACAAAGUCGCAGCUGAUAGCUGGAUAAACAAUCCAAAGGAAUUGCCUGCAGUGGAGUUCGGUAACAUCUACAACUACCUCAUAAAGUCACCCAGUAAGUUGACCUUUACCAAUUACGUGGAAUAUGUACUGUGAGGAACUAAGAAAACUGGUAGUAUAUAUGGAGUGAUCAUUUCUGCCGUAACCGGUAAUUUGCCUCCAAGCGUUAUUUAGCUGUGAACACGUCACGGCAAAAUAACCAAUUCCCACCAGGCCAAUAAUAUACCGAUUGACCGAUCAGAGCAGUUCAUGGCAAAAGAAAAAUAACGCUUUGCAAGUUGUCAGUUACGGUAAUAAUAAAAAUGCUUAGUCUAUUGAAUCCUAGCAGCUAAUUGGGGCAAGAAAAAUCGAUUAAAGUUUACUCACCAGUAAUAAAAUGUCAGCUGCAGAUGUACAGUAAAUGUGCCUGGAUUUAGGUUGCCACUGGCGAGAAUGGUCCACGGAACCGUCUUCUUUUACUGUUCCUUAAUUAAUUGCUUUCAGCCAUUUGCUUGUCGUUUUCUUCUCACGAGGAAGAAUAAAGAACUUCAAAUGCGGCUCCGAACUCUUCCUUGUGUUACAAACCUCAACACGGCAACUUUUAGUCAUCGAUGGAAAAAAAGACCGCAAAUAAGACAAAAGUUCAACGCGUUUGUACUACGAUAAAGGACAGAGCAACUGCUUGUGACUCGUGUUUUGCCAUUUCAAUAUGGCGACGCUUUGUUGUGGCUGGUGAAGUCAUUAAUGCCCGGAUGUCCGACUGCGAGAAUGUGUCUGGAGGAGAGAGAGGAAGUGCGCGGAUAACAAAUGAGGUUGGAAAAACAGCUUGUUUUGGUGAUUACUUGUUCGGCGUGGUUGCAGCCAACAGUAACCGUUAAUCCUGCAAUAAAAAAGUAGGUGAGACCAACUCUCCGUGCGUUCUCUAUAUCCAGUGCGACGCUAAAUAGAGACUGUGCCGUCACGAUAGUCGUGGCUAUGAACACCUUUCUCGUAUCAACGACUCUACAGACGUGGCUAUGUCUAAGCAGGUUUAUUAACACUCAAAAUGGUGAAACUAAAGAAAACAGACAAAACAACACAAUCAAAUUAUGCACAAUAGGGAAUGGGAAGUACUACGUCAUUGUUUGGACGCGCCUCCAUGCUUGCAAUAUGAUUCACUUCCGGGUCGGCAAACUCAAUGCGGAUUGUAACGUGUGGUCGUGCUAAGCUAACUCUUUCGGUGUUUUAGAAAGAAAUUAUGGGUGUGUAUUGUUGUGUUACCGGGUGCAACAGCUUCUCCUACGACUAAAAAAAGGGCGAGGAAAACUGGACUCACUUUUCACCGUUUUCCUGCAUGGAGGACCAAAUAUCAGAUCACGAAGGCACGACUGAUGGCUGGAUUGCAGCGGUUCGUCGGGAAAGCAUUUCUUAUGAUCAUAUUUCUGCUGGAAUGAGAGUAUUCCCCUCAUCUCUACUCUUGAAAACCUGCAUAUGAAAUGCUGACAACACAUCCCGAUUGGUCACCAUAUCUCUUCUUGGGUUAUUCUGAGGUCAAGCGCACCACAUCGGAGCGUUAUGAGAGGUUGGAAAGGCGAAGAGUGCACGCUGAAACUUCAGUUUGCGCUGCUCUUACAAACACGAUCCCAAGUGUUGUUGUGAAAAGUCAAUAAAAUAUGAAUACCAAAACAUGACUUGAACAACUUCUUGACAAACUGUAACUGCUUGUUGUUUACUUCAGGUCUUCAUAAUAAAUAGGUGUAAUAAUUACAAAGUCAGGUGACUUAAUUUUGUUAUUCUAUUUGGAAUAUGCAUUGACAAUUUUUGGACAGUGUUGUAGACAAGAACUGGGACUGAUAAGUUGCAAUAGAUUUAUUUCAAGUAAUGCAAUUUCUCCAAUACGAUAUUUUAAUUGACAGUUUAAAAUCUUUAAAUUAGUGCAAACAAGGCCCACCCUCUGACGGUGGCAGCAAAUAUUAUAUACGGUAAUUAUAAGUAAUACACAAAUACAAGAUCACAAUAAACGUGUCUUUGUCAAAGCAGUUUAAAACACUAUUUACUGGCCUUGGGUAAAUUGCCAGACAGGAUAAAUAUGUGCUUUAAAGUUCUUGCAUUUCCAUUUUAAGUAUUGCAAGUACUAGUCUCCAACACAGUAUUUGAACAGACAGUUUAAAAUCCUUUUAGUACAAAAUGGCCCACACUCUGGCAGGGGGCAGCAAAUAUUAUAAUACAUAAUACAUUAUAAAAAGCUAUAUACUAUAUAAAUACAAGAUCACAACAAAACCUGUAUUUUUUCAAAGCAGUUAAAAAACAUCCAGUGGCCUUAGGUAAAUAAAGGUGUAUAAAUAUGUACUUUACAGUUUUUGCAUUUCUAUUUUAGGUAUUGCAACUUUUCCAACACUAUUUGAAUUGACAGUCUAAAGUCUCCAUAAGUGCAAAUAAGAAUAUUAUAAUUUAAAAAUAAUAAUAGAAUAUAUAAAUUCAACAUUACAAUGAAACGUGUCUUUGUCAAAGUGGUUUAAAAAAAAAAAUAAUAAUAAUAAUACGUCACUGGCCAUAGUUAAAUAGCCAGGCAGAAUAAAUAUGUGCAUUACAGUUCUUGCAUUUUCACAAGUUAAAAGCCCGCAGUUCAUCGACGAGAAGGGCAGACCCAGAUGGCGUCUGCAGCAGGGGCUUGUUUGAGUCCGACACAGGACAAAUGGAACCACUCCAUUGAACAAAUUUUCUUUGUCAAAUGAUCCAAGAAGGGAGAUGGUGACCAAUCGGGAUGUGUUGUCAGCAGGUUUACCUAGGAACACAACAGGUAGGUGAGUCGUAGUAGGCGAGCAUUGCU